GACCAUUUCUCUAAAAUGGUUGAAGCCAACAAACACACCGAAGGGUCUGUACUCUUUGUUUGUCCCAAAUGUUGUAUCGAAGGUAACAACAUCACCGAAAUGAGCAUAGUCAAUGAUCAUCCUUGCAUCAGCCCAAAAGAUAUUUGCUAUAUUUUCAUCACAAUCUAGUUGCAUGUCAUAUUCAAAUGCAGGAUUCUCAUUCUUUUUAUCUCUAAAAUACUUGAGCAUACUUCCAGCUUCACCAUACAUCAAGUCUCUUUGACGUCUGGUUCGCAAGUGGUUCUUGCGAUCACGACAUGUGUAGCCAAGGUUCAGUGGACCACCAACUUGUCGACUUGCUAACUCAUGGGCUUUUCUAGGUACAAUUCCUGAAUCAUCUGCUGUUUCAAUUUCAAAUGCUUGCAAGGCCGAAAUUUUCCUCUGUGAUGGCAUCAAGUGGCUUGUCCCAGGAGAAGGACAACAAAAGAGAGAUCGUCUGCAUUAAUCUCCUGUCAUGUUUUGGAAAUCCCAGAAGGAAGACAAAAGGGAGAUAAUCUUCAUCGCCUACAGAUCAGCUUGCCUUGGUUUCACUCUGAACAUGGGGGAUGAUCAGAAGAGAGAUAAGGCAAAAGGGAGUUGAUCUCGCCACCUACAGACCACAGAUGAACGUACCUCCGCCAUGUUCUUUUACAAGGACGAACAAGAGGAACGGGGAAGAUGAGCAGGACGAAGGCAAAUAGAUCGUAGAGGAGCCGAACCCAUCGAUCGCUGUUUGUCGCCAACGCGAUUAUUAGGGUGGUGUUUUGUUUGGCGCCAAUGUGAGUCUUCGUGGUUCUGUUUGGCGCCAAUGUGAGUCUUCGUGGUUCUGUUUGGCGCCAAUCUUGCAACCGUACAAGAUUUUCUACCACAUAAUUAGGUGUUUGUUUCCAUCUAUUAACAGAAUCGGGUGGGGGUAAUGAGAGCCGUGAGAUUUAAAUGAAUGGCUGAUCUGGGUUGGUACAGUACCCGUGCAGUAAUAACGUG